UGGGGGGAACCCUGAUCCAGCCAUGCCGCGUGUGUGAAGAAGGCCCUCGGGUUGUAAAGCACUUUGAGCGAGGAAGAACGCCUAGCGGUUAAUACCCGCUAGGAAAGACAUCACUCGCAGAAGAAGCACCGGCUAACUCCGUGCCAGCAGCCGCGGUAAUACGGAGGGUGCAAGCGUUAAUCGGAAUUACUGGGCGUAAAGCGCGCGUAGGUGGCUUGAUAAGCCGGUUGUGAAAGCCCCGGGCUCAACCUGGGAACGGCAUCCGGAACUGUCAAGCUAGAGUGCAGGAGAGGAAGGUAGAAUUCCCGGUGUAGCGGUGAAAUGCGUAGAGAUCGGGAGGAAUACCAGUGGCGAAGGCGGCCUUCUGGACUGACACUGACACUGAGGUGCGAAAGCGUGGGUAGCAAACAGGAUUAGAUACCCUGGUAGUCCACGCCGUAAACGAUGUCGACCAGCCGUUGGGUGCCUAGCGCACUUUGUGGCGAAGUUAACGCGAUAAGUCGACCGCCUGGG
rnacentral:rRNA from 1 species